UGGGGAAUAUUGCACAAUGGGCGCAAGCCUGAUGCAGCAAUGCCGCGUGUGUGAAGAAGGCCUUCGGGUUGUAAAGCACUUUCAGCGGGGAGGAAGGCGAUAAGGUUAAUAACCUUGUCGAUUGACGUUACCCGCAGAAGAAGCACCGGCUAACUCCGUGCCAGCAGCCGCGGUAAUACGGAGGGUGCAAGCGUUAAUCGGAAUUACUGGGCGUAAAGCGCACGCAGGCGGUCUGUCAAGUCGGAUGUGAAAUCCCCGGGCUCAACCUGGGAACUGCAUUCGAAACUGGCAGGCUAGAGUCUUGUAGAGGGGGGUAGAAUUCCAGGUGUAGCGGUGAAAUGCGUAGAGAUCUGGAGGAAUACCGGUGGCGAAGGCGGCCCCCUGGACAAAGACUGACGCUCAGGUGCGAAAGCGUGGGGAGCAAACAGG
rnacentral:rRNA from 1 species